rnacentral:rRNA from 1 species
ACGGGGUGCAGCAGGCGCGAAAUCUUCACAAUGUGCGAAAGCACGAUGAGGGAAUCCCAAGUGCUAGCACGUAAGUGUUAGCUGUUUCUUAGUCUAAAAAACUCAGAGAGUAAGGGCUGGGUAAGACGGGUGCCAGCCGCCGCGGUAAUACCUGCAGCUCGAGUGGUGGCCGCUAUUAUUGGGCCUAAAACGUCCGUAGCCUGUUUAGUAAAUGCUUGGGUAAAUUGUGUAGCUUAACUAUACGAACACCGGGUAGACUGCUAAACUUGGGACCGGGAGAGGCUAGAGGUACUCCUAGGGUAGAGGUGAAAUUCUGUAAUCCUAGGGGGACCACCAGUGGCGAAGGCGUCUAGCUAGAACGGGUCUGACGGUGAGGGACGAAGCCCUGGGGCGCGAACCGGAUUAGAUACCCGGGUAGUCCAGGGUGUAAACGCUGCUUGCUUGAUGUUAGUUGGGCUCCGAGCCCAACUAGUGUCGGAGAGAAGUUGUUAAGCAAGCUGCCUGGAAGUACGUCGCAAGAC